CUUGUGCAGCUAGUCUCUCCUUUCCUGGGGAAAUUCCCUGAGUUGUUUAAUUGGUUUAAAAACUUUCUGGGCUAUAAGGAGUCUGUACAUCUGGAAACUUUUCCAAAGGAGCGAGCCACAGAGGGCAUUGCCAUGGAGAUAGAUUAUGCCUCUUGUAAAUGAUUGGGCUCCAGCUGUCGAGCCCUACCAAAGAGUUACCAGCAGCCCAAGUGUACCGGACGGACUCCUCUCUGUAAAGAGGUAAGGCCUUCCCUAGCAGGGAUCACUGGGUCCUCAGCUUUCUCCGGAAGGGAGUGGUAGUACCAAGGAUUGAGAAAUUAUGUGAAUGAUGAAAUUAAGAACCCUUUU